ACGCUCGACACCUACUGGAGGCAGCAGUCGGGAAUAUUGCGCAAUGGAGGAAACUCUGACGCAGUGACGCCGCGUAUAGGAAGAAGGUUUUCGGAUUGUAAACUAUUGUCGUUAGGGAAGAAAAAAGACAGUACCUAAGGAGGAAGCUCCGGCUAACUACGUGCCAGCAGCCGCGGUAAUCUGAGCGGGCUGGACAAGGC
rnacentral:rRNA from 1 species